AUCUCUUUUCACAUAGAAUAUAGAGGUUUUCAAUCACAGAAGUUAAGUUGUUCUCCAGAAUCAGUUCUCCUCUACAGAAAGGUCAAAAC
rfam:Macropus eugenii Contig856596, whole genome shotgun sequence.